AGAUUUCUGCUUUGUUUGUGAAGAUUCUUUUGGUUUUGAUCCUAUGUUCUGAACGGGAACCGGAAGUGAGAUAUUUAGUACAUCAGGCUUUUGAAAAAAAGUAGGUGGAAAGAUAUCUCCAGGUGCCCACCUUGCGUAGGCAGGGUCAGAAAACCGGAUAUCUAACACGGCAUAGCUGAAAAGGU
rnacentral:other from 1 species